GCCGGCGUAGCUCAGUCGGUAGAGCAACGCACUCGUAAUGCGUAGGUCGUCGGUUCGAAUCCGACCGCCGGCUCCA
rnacentral:tRNA from 7 species